GACGAUCGCUGGCGGCGUGCUUAACACAUGCAAGUCGAGCGGAGCGGCGAACGGGUGAGUAACGCGUGAGUAACUGCCCCCCUCUCCGGGAUAACAGUUGGAAACGGCUGCUAAUACCGGAUAGUGGGGGAUGACUCGCGUCCUAUAAGCUUGUUGGUUGGGUAGUGGCCUACCAAGGCUACGACGGGUAGCCGGCCUGAGAGGGCGACCGGCCACAUUGGGGUGAGAUAGGGGCCAAAAUCCUACGGGAGGCAGCAGUGGGGAAUACUGCACAGUGGGGGAAAGCCUGAUGCAGCAACGCGCGUGCGGGAUGACGGCCUUCGGGUUGUAAACCGCUUUCAGCCAUGACGCGGUAGUGGCAGAAGAAGCACCGGCUAACUACGUGCCAGCAGCCGCGGUAUUUC
rnacentral:rRNA from 1 species